UGCCGUACAAGAGAUGCUGCGAGGAGCCCCGCUCCUAGGGCUCUGCGCUUGCCGCUGCAAUUAUACAAGCUGCGCGUACAACCAGCCACCUCUCAGAGAAGAGAAGAGGAAGGAUUGAAGACAUUCUCCGUCAUUUGAGAAAACCACGGCCCCCCCCAGGGCAGCCCGCCGGGGGCGCGGGCAGGGCGGGCGGGCAGCGCCGCGUUUCUCAGGCUGCUGUUCUGCCUUCGGUGCUGAAAUCAUCCUUAAAGGAGAAAGAUGCUGGAGCUGGGAUAUAAAGUAGUCUUCUAGGAGUGCUGCCAGAACCGAUCUGUUUUACUCUGCUGCUGCUGCUGCUGUUGCUGUUCUGCUGUGUCAUGGGAAGAGAGUUACCUAGCCACACCAACCCUCGGAAACGGCACCUCAGGCAGAGCCUCUUGCUGCAAACCUGAGCCGUGCUUUACAAAGCUGAAGGCGGUCCCAAGUGGCAUAUGCUCCCGCGAUACCACAUGGUCUGAAUGGACUCCUGGAAAUAUAGGAGUGAUCUGGCACUGGUACUCUUUGAAAACAAGGCGUUAGUUGUUCUACCAUGAGAUGCUGCAUAUCGACCUCUUCUGGAAGGAAGAAGUUCACAUAUAAGUUAAGAUUCAUUAACCUCUGAUGAUUAAUCUAUAAAGUUGGAGCCAGCCUCCCUAUCAAGAAGCACGUUAUUAUGUCUGUUACAGCUGCUAGACACCAACCAAGAUCGGGGGCCUUGUUUUCUGGAUAUUAUUAUAUAGUCAUACCCUAGGAGAUAACCUCUGCCUUGAAGGGCUUACAAAGCAAAAAGACAAAAGAGUGAGCAAUAUAACUCUCAGGCUGAGCAAACAUGGUGACCUUUUGCAAAUGUCAAGUUAAUACCAUGAUCUGGAAGUGGAAGGGGUUUAUCAGAGGGCGGGUGGGUCAGCAGGGAUGGAAGGCACUCAGGUUUCGGGGAGUGAGGUGAAGGAAAAGCCAUAGCAGAAGCUGCAUGGUAUGAGAUGGAGAGGAAGUGCACGUAGAACGUUCUAUAGUCAAUCAGCACAUCCAGGAAGACAAACGGGGGGAAAAAGGAGUCUGAUGACCCUGUCCACAGCUCACAGCAUCACCAGCUCCUACCUGUAGCCUCUUCCCCAAAGCCACACAGCUUGGAGAGAGGAGAUGGAGAAGGCAGGGGGUGGACAGCAUGGUUCCUCCUACGUGCUGGUUCUGCACAGGCGGCUGGAGGUGUGAUAACCCUGUUUUGGGGGUUGUUUCUCUCUGCAGCUCGGCCUCCUGCAGCUGUUUUUGUUGCAGCUGAGCCUCAGGGCUGGAGUGAGACAUAGUUCAGCGCUCUAAGUCCAGGGCAGCACAUAAUUGAAUAUUAACAGGAACAGCUCCAGGAGCUACUGGGACUCAGGAAGUCACAAUUCCUCCUCUUGCUGCUCCUUUGCCUUAGCGGGAGGUGAUUGCUGGAGGCCUUAAUGGAUGUGAGACAUAAUAUACUUCCUCCACAUUAGCUCCAGUUUGCAAACUGAGGCUUUAACCACAUCCUACCCUCUCUGAUCAUUUCCUCAUGCACCUUUUCAGCAACAUGUGAAGUGCACUAGCUACAGCCACCCCAGCGUCCCACAGGCAACCAAGCGGAGAAGUGCAGAGACCAUACGAACAUUGAUUUUACACCUCAUUUCUCCAGUGAACAAAGGGGUUCUCACCUUUAAGGCUUAGCAAAAUUUGCCAAACAUAAAUUAUUGAACUCUUUGCCUCUGUUUCAUCCUUCUGAGAAUGGGAAAUAUUUAUUUGCUGAUUGGCGAUGUUAUGAGCACCAUACAAGGUCCAUAAAGUGAUUUUUAAGUUGAAAACCUUUGGUAUCAUGCCUUUGUUAAAUAUUUGAGGUAAAAUAUAGCAAGAAAUUAAUAGGUACUAGUGACUCUCCAUACUGCCUGUCAAGACCAUUUAGAGCUGCCCGGUGCUCAGUUGCUCCCUUUCCAAAAGUAUGGAUAGACAUCAUUCUCUCCCCAAAACCAUGCUGCAGAUCUACAUGGAGAAGUUCAGUCUACAGUCAUGUUACUUGUACAGAAUAAAUAAAGUGUUUCACAAGAAGAAAGUUGCCCACAGAAACCUGUCCAUGCCAUCUGAUCAUUCAAAACCUGGUGCUAGUCUAAGAAGGGAGAAGGUAACACCUCCAGAGCACCAGAAAAUUCCCAAAGACCCUAAGGGCUAUGCUGAGCAACAGUCAAAAUCUUAAAUUACUUCAUUUUCUCCUUUUUUUUCCCUCUUCUUUCUCACUUUAAAAUUCAGUGUCUUUCACCUUGGUGUAUCAUUUUCCUUCAGGUCCACCAGCACUUGUUCAUUGCAUGACCCCUUUAUUUUUCAAAACACCCCUCCUCAAUCUCCUUUUUUCAUUAGUUGAUGUACAAUAGACUCUACCAUGAGACUGCUUUUGGUUUUGUUUGAUUUCUCUCUUUCUUUAUCUCUACCCAGAGACAUCCAGCAGAUUGUUUCAUAAUCUUCCCAGAGUUCAGAGAAAGUAUAUUCCUUCCAGAUAGCCUGUGAACUCCCUCAUUCCUUUUCCUCCUCACCUGCCUUUCUUGAACAACAGUUCUGGCAAACUUUAUCCACAUAUGAUUCCUUAUUAGGGAAAAGUAAGAAAUGUUCUGUUUCCCAGCCACACAAGGUGUGUUUUUGCACAACUGCUUUGCAUGCCAGCGCACUCACUGAUUUUUCUAGCCCUUGGAAGUAAGGACCGCAGCACCACAUUCAUCCCCCAUCAACCACACAUCGUUUGUGGGAGAUCUGCAGAAAAAGAGGCUCUUCGUUCCGCUUAUAUGGAGCUACAUUGGUACAUGAAAAAAGAAAAUUGGUGAAAGUAUGCAACACACAGAAGGAAGGAUUGAUUUUGUUAUUGGUCGGGGAAAGCUCCGUGCUUCAGUUGGUAUCACUGACUUCCUCCUGUUGUUGGAUAAUUAAUUAACACCAACUGUGUGUUUGAAGCUAUGCUAAAACGCAAACACAAGAUUUGCAUCAAUGUUUUGCAUUCUGGGUGGGCACGGGGAAGAUGGAAGCAUUGGCACACCUAGAGAAGACAGUCAUGGAAAAGGAGAACUGGAGAGAGACUGGAGAAUCCCCCCUCAGUGCCCUGAGCAGAAUCCAACCAUCCCCAAGAGAGGCUAAUCAACUUCCAGAGAGGAAGACUUAAGAAUAAAUUCAGAAAUUUUAAUUCAAAGAAAUUUGCUUCAAAUUAGAAAGCUUUUAGGUUUGAUUUGUGGGGUUUUCUUCUUUCCCAGAUACCUAGUAACAACGAUUUUUUCAGGAAAUCAAGCCAAUUUAGUUCUGUUGUACCCAGAACAAUUGUCAAUAUCCUUUUUGUAAGUCUCCUCUGUCUUAGAAGAUAGUUUUCAUAUUCUCAUGCAUUUUUUUUUCCCUUCUGAAAAAAAGCAAAGAAAAUCAAGUUUUUUGAACCAUUUAUAAUACUUGUUGCUCUCUCUACAAUUUGUCUCCAUCUUUCUUAUACUUUCUCCUAGCACAGCAUCCAAACCCACACCUGAUAUUCUGACUGAGCCCUCAUUAGAGUGGAAUAAUUGCUUCUGAUGUUUCACCUAUUACACUCUUCUUCAUAUGCCCCAGAAUAAGUUUUGUCUUUUUCUGCAACAGCUCUCUACUACUCAGCAUCUUGUUCACGGCUCUUUUUCUGUUGAAUGGCUGCUUGACCAGUGAUUUGCCACUUGACAUUGACAUAUUUGUUGCUUAUGACCUUACUGAACCAAAUCUGGUUGAUUUUAUAUUACUACUUUAAUUUCCCAGCAACAUUUUGGAAUGCAUCCUCCAGAGUAACUGUAUAUUCUUUAUUUCAUCAUCCAAAUAACUAAUGAAAAUAUUAGAAUCAAGUCCAGGACCAAACCCUGUGGGAGCCCAUUUGGAAAUCCCUCUAAAUUUGAAGGAAAGGAAUUAGUAAUUCUUGUGUGAAUACAAUUUUUUUUCUGUCAAGUACGUCUUAAGAUGGUUUCACAGAGAUCAUAGUUCCUGGUCAGCUUAUGGGAACGUUAUGUGAAAUGGUGUUAAAAACCCUGCUUAUUUCAAAAUAUAUGACAUAUAGUCCUUCUCCCUUAUUCUACAACACAGUUGUUGGGUUCAAAGAUGGAAAUUAGCUGGUUUUAACAUCGCUCAGUUAUGACAAAUCCAAUCCGGUUGAUUGUAUGGUUCUAUUUUCAGCUUAAUAACUGAUUAUUUAACAGUUUAUUGUAUUAUUUUUCUGCAUUGCAUGCUAAACUGACUGCUGUAUAAUUCCCUAAGUCCUUCUUCCCCCCUCUUUAAAGACAGGGGCUGUGUUUGCCCUUCUCUCCUCCUCUGGGAUCUCCCCCGUUAUCCAUGAGCUCUCCCAGAUAAUUACUAAUGAGUCAGAGAUUGCUCUGGCUAGUGCCUGAAGUGCUCUAGGGGGAACUUCAUCCAGUCCUGCUGACUUGAAUUUGUCUAACUUCUCUGAAUGAUUUUAUCUGUUUCUUUUCCUAUCUUGGAUUGUCUUACCCCCUUGGCAAAAGUAGUUCUGAUAAAUAUCAGUUUAUCAUCCUUUUUUUUUUUUUUUUUUUUUUUUCUCCAGGGGUGCAUCAUAAGAAAUAAUGAAUGGUCCAGUCUUUUUUCUGUUGUUAUUUCUGUUGUCUCAUUUUCUGUUAUUUCAGUUAUGUAUAAUUUCCAUUGUCGCCUUCUUAUUUCUGUUACUUUUACAGAUCAUUCUUUUAUCACCCUCUGUAUCUCUUCCUAAUUGAAACUCAUUUUGUCCCUGGUCUUUCUCAUUUUAGUUCUCCAUAGUCACACUUUUCCUUUACAGACAUCAUUUUCCUAGUCUUGUUUCCAGUCUUUGUACAGCUUAAUGUCUUCUCCUUUUUCUGCUUCCCCCACUCUUUCCUUUCUUCAGAGGAAGACACUCCAUGAUUUUAUUAUCUCCUUCAUUUUAAUUAACUUCCACCUUCCUUUUCUCAGCAAUCUGCUCCCCAUUAUUCGUCGGAGUCUAAUCUCAGAGAGCUACAACAGUUUCCUCCUCCCACAGGAACUUUGCUCCAUCAUCUGAACUUUUGCUGCCAGCCUCCCCCAAACAUAGUUUAAAGCCCUUCUGCUGGGCUUGCAAGGCAGUUAUCGUGCAGUCUCUCUUUGCAGAGCACCCUUGGGUAAUUUUCCAGUUAGGAAACCAUUAUUUAUUUUUCUCUAUUAUUGCAGAUCUAAUUAAUAAUCAAUUUUUCUCUUAAACCCAUCCUCUCUUCUGCAAUAUGCUAGUCCUUGCCCUGACUUUUAUUCCCAGCCAGAAGGAUGAAAAAGGAUAUUUUCCAUAUCCUCAUCUCCUUCCCCCUUGUCCCCAGUGCCUGGAUUUAAAGAGUAGAUAGGAGGCUUUAUUUAAAACACUUUUUAGGGUGGUAGAUUAAUGUGAUGGUUCCUGUAAGCAUUACAGAGGUCACCUGCAUGCUGAGGCACCCUUCUCCAGCUCGGUGGGAGACCGUAAAGGCAUUUAGGAAAUACAGUUAAGAGGUCUGAGUGUACUGUGCAUUGAAACAUGAGAUUUAGAACGUCCAGCACACAGAUGCUAUUUUUUUUCCACCAAAAAUUCUGUUGAUAUCUUUUAGGAAAUCAGACAACAAACCCAGACCCGUAUGAAAUGCAUUAAAUUAAGCUCCCAGUCCUUUGGGUCACUGUUCUUCAUAAACUGAUUACAUCUCUAAACAAAGAACAACAUAAACCUUCAAGGUCGUGUAAGCAGCAGACCUGCAAUUCCACCUACGUCCACCUACCUCUUCUUUCUCGUUAACUUGACACAGGUGGCUCUUGCUCAAGGCUUUCCUUAGGCUCUCCAGACUCGCUGAGCAGGUACAAGGACUUAGGUAGCAUUUAAGCCAGAUGACUAUAGCUGUCAAUCUGUGUUUCGGCAAAAAACAGUAAAUAAGUAGCUCUCGGUAUCUGAGCAGUCUGUUCCUCAUCACUGGGGCUACUGGUGAAGCUGAGCAUUUUGCCACCUCAGAGCCAGCACGUACCUACAGUGCUGAGCCCACGGAGAACACUUGGUGGGACCCAGAAGAGUAGAGGUUAUUCAGGCUUAAGAUGAUAAGGCUUACUGCUGUCUUUAACUACCCACAGGAGAUUAUUGAAAAGACCACGUCAGAUUUUUCUUGAAGGUGGGCAGUGAUAGAACAAAAGACAAUCAACCCAAGUUGUGGCGGAGGACGUUCCAACCAGAUAUUAGAUGGAAAAAUAAAUGACAAUGAAGGCGAUCAACUACUGGAACAGGAGUCCAGAGAGCUUUUGGGAUCUCCAUCCUUGCAAAUCUCAAUGGGGCAAGGUUCUGAGAAAUCUGACUGCAGGGUGAGGUUAGCCCUGCUGUGGGAGGGGAGUCUGGAGAUCCCUGGAGGUCUUUCCCUCGCCAAGUUGUUGGGUGAUGCUGGGAUCCUGUGCAGAUGGGUCUGGGGUGGUUGUAUUGCUGUCCUGCUCGUUUGAGAUGAUGGCCAACACAAUUGCUAGACUGCCCGAGUGUGUUGGUUCUGUGCACGUAAAUUUGUAAGACUACUCUGUGCUGAAUCCAGAAGACUAUAUUUCAUAUAAUAAGAAAAUCCCAGGUAAUUAUGAAUUAAUUGGUUUAACACUGAUCCCAAACAAUAAAAAAAAAAAAUCUGAUAUAGGCUAUGGUUAGUAAUGAAUUAAAGGAUGCUAACCUGAUUGAUAUGCCUGAGCAGUUUUAUGGAAAGCCUGUCAUGUCAAACAAAUGGAUGUUUUUUUAAUGAGAAUGUAAGUUUGGUUAAUAAAGAUAAGGCUGUU